rnacentral:lncRNA from 1 species
GCGGUGGCCGUGGCGGAGGCACUGCUUUUGGCCGCUGCCUGGGCCCGUUGGGCCGCCCGCCCCCCGCUCCCCGGGCCGCAGUCGCCCCCGCGCUCCGGUGCUCGGCGCGAAGCCCUGGCCCUGGCGGCCGGGGCAUGGGCCAGGGGCGCGGGGUCAGGCGGCUUCCCGUGGGGCCCCGACCUGCACCGGCUUCGCCAUGAAGACCCUCAUACGGUGCUGUCCCGUGAGGGCGCUGGGCUAAGGGUCCGGUAGAUGAGCUGUCACUGCCCAGGGUCUGCAGGGCCUCUUGGGCUUUUUCUGGGCGCGAUGCAGCUGCAAGAAGGCUUUCAGGAAAGGAUGUGAUGAAGGGCUCUAAGACAGGCAGGAAGGAGUGUGUGGAUAUAGUGGGGGUACCUUGCGGGACCACGGACCGCAAUGUGGGCCGAGGUCCCAAGCCCUUUCUUUUCUUUUGGGACAACUUGCCGCCCUCUCCCCUACCCCGCCCCCAUUCUUCCCCCCUCCUCAUCUGGGUCUGAGAUGAGGUUGGAAUAAUGGCUGCCUGCGUGGUUGUCAAGUGUGGGCACAUUCUCCACUCUAGCAGCCCUCAUCAAUCUGGGGGAACCUCUGACACCACGUCCCUGAAAUGGGUUGAUAUCUGAGAGCGCCCCUCCACUCGUCGCCAUUGCUCCUGGCCCCUGGCAGCUCUGGCCCCUCUCUCCUGGUGGAUCAAGCUGUGAAGCGCUGGAUGGGGCAGAGUGGCAAGCGUUUUGCAAUCCCCUGAAGCAGGCUCCAGAUGGAGAAGUACCUACCCACACCAUCCUUUGCCCCACACUCAUCCCUCAUGCCAGGCUCUGGAGUCCACUGAGCAGCAACUGUGAGCCUGGCACACUUAGAAGGUGGGGCAGAGGACCCUGGGUCCCCUCCAGUGUGGCCAGUGCCUCUGUUCUACCAUCGUGCAGCUGAGGCCCUGUGUGCAUCGGGGGCAGAGUUGAGAUCAAAGUCCAGAGUUUUCCCUACUCAAGCAAAGGCAUCCCUUCCAUGAGCCCCCAUCUCACAGCUAAACUUAGAGAAACUAAAGUGGGAGGAAGCAUGACCUGCUCAAGCUUUCCUUAACACAUGCCUUGGCCCGGGAUUAAAUACAAAUCCAGGAGACCCUGGGACAUCCUCACAGCUGUCCAGGUCCGUGUGUCUGUCUUGCUGGAAUCCUCCCUCCCUCCACCGAAGACUCGAUUGUGCUGGCUGAACCUCUCCUACUUAGGAUUUUCCUGUAGUAAUUACCAAUUGCCUACUCCACCCACCUUCAUUAUAAAAAUAAAACAUAGGAAGUAUUGGAAUUU